GACGAACGCUGGCGGCGUGCUUAACACAUGCAAGUCGAACGGAAAGGCCCUGCUUUUGUGGGGUGCUCGAGUGGCGAACGGGUGAGUAACACGUGAGUAACCUGCCCUUGACUUUGGGAUAACUUCAGGAAACUGGGGCUAAUACCGGAUAGGAGCUCCUGCUGCAUGGUGGGGGUUGGAAAGUUUCGGCGGUUGGGGAUGGACUCGCGGCUUAUCAGCUUGUUGGUGGGGUAGUGGCUUACCAAGGCUUUGACGGGUAGCCGGCCUGAGAGGGUGACCGGCCACAUUGGGACUGAGAGACGGCCCAGACUCGUACGGGAGGCAGCAGGGGGGAAUAUUGCACAAUGGGCGGACGCCUGAUGCAGCAACGCCGCGUGCGGGAUGACGGCCUUCGGGUUGUAAACCGCUUUCGCCUGUGACGAAGCGUGAGUGACGGUAAUGGGUAAAGAAGCCCCGGCUAACUACGUG
rnacentral:rRNA from 1 species